CCCUCGGGCUCUCUCUCAAAAUUAAAAAAAAACAACCAUGGAGGCCCGGGAGUCGAAGACGCGGCAUCGGUGAUCAACUCCGCCAACACUCCGCCGCCGCAGUUUGUGAACAAAAUCUGCGAUAUGGUGGAAGACCCCUCCACCGACGCCUUUGUCUCCCUCCUGGAGCAACGGCAACAACAGCUUUGGCGUCUGGAACGUCCCUGAGUUCUCGAGGGACAUCCUGCCCAAGUAUUUCAAGCACAGAAAAUUCUCUAGCUUCGUCAGGCAGUUGAAUGCUUAUGUGAAAAGGUGGAAGGAAAAAGGACAUUAAGAGGUAAGAACUACAUUGAGAAUGAGAUAAAAUUUGAGCCGACUACUUUUGUGCAAAUUGCCUUGAUUUACGUGCUUCUUGGAUAAAUUUGUUCCAUUGCAUUGCAUUACUCUGAAAAGAAAAACCGAAUUCCUCUAUUUGAUGUCGAUUCAUACACACUAUGUAGCAUUUGGAGAGAAACGCUCAACUGUGGCACAAUCGGUUUCAAAUUCUUUUAGAAGCGAAUGCUUUGGAAUAUUCCAUUCUUGUAGCAGCCACCGCUUCGAAUCCAGCUCCUCUGCAAUUUCUGGGCCCAUAUUCUGGGUGUGCAUAAGCCCCCUUAGAGAUAGGGGCGAGCAGGAAAGCAGCCCCUUGUAUAGGGUUACGAACAUAUUGUAGUAAUAAUAAGAAAGGGGCAAGCAAAACUUACUCCUAACAAGUUGCUGGCUUUUCAGCCGUGCAAGUUGUGGUUAUUAUGCUGUGAGGGAAGAUCUUUUACAUUGAUGAAGAUAUUUUCUGAAACUGAUAGGUCGAUGUUUUCUCAAAAAAUUUCAGUUGAAAUGCCAAUUGAGUGACUGUCAUUGCCAUAUCAGCAUGGUAUUCAGAUUAUUCAAUGCGCCCAUCAUACUUAAGCUCCUCAUCCAAUUGAUUGCAACUCCACUCUAGACUCAAGUAUGCUGUCUCUGUCAAUCCUUUUCUUUCAAGACUGGGAUGAACAUCAAAUGCGUUUAUACUGUUCCUGGUAAGUUGGUUCCCAUCAAACCGGAUUCAAGACAAUGCCCAACAAUUCCUCAAGCACUCGGGCAAAUACCCUAUUAGAUUGUUAUUCUUCACUUUGAAACUUGCAAAGCGAAUCAGCUACACUACUCCGGUGACAGUUACAAAAAAACCAAGCUCAAAAGCGAUUGAAGAGUUUAAGGAAUUCUCACCAAGGUCAAGGUAGUGAAGCUUCCUGAGUUCGCCUAUUCCGAUGAAAUUUUCCCUUCACGGGAAUUUUGAGAUGGGUCAAUAUGUUGCAUGCAGUCCAGACAUUAAACCGAUAUCUUAAGGGAUUUGGCCACUAAUGUGUAUUUUGUCCUUGGUAGACUUUGAAAAGUCUCAUCUUUUUGUUCUUGGCUAUUUUCCCCUUAAUCUGUAUUUGUCCUGUUGUACGUUUUGUUCCAGUCUGUCUCCUUACUGUUUCGUUUGUUGUCAUCUGUGAGGAUGGCUUUUUAUUGUUUGCGUGAUGUUUUGCAGGAUUCAUAGAUAAUAGAUUUGGUAUGGGCUGCCGUGCGUGUAACUGUGUAAAACUACUCUCUUCCUUUCAUUUAAAAUGGUACAUCGACUAUUUAUGU